GCGGUAUUAGCACAUCGGUAGUGCACCAGACUUCCACUCUGGGGAGGUGGGUUCGAUUCCCAUAUACCGCU
rnacentral:tRNA from 1 species